rnacentral:lncRNA from 1 species
GGACAGUAAGUAUUGGAUGACAACCUAAAUAAUUUAAUGGCCUUGCAGUCAAAUUUAGAGGGAAGCAUCAGCUACUAAAGAAAAAAAGUGGGGCGGGGAGGGAAAACUGCAGUAUAUAAUAAGCAACAAAACAGAGAACAGAAAGGAAAACAGAGAAAUCAGAGAGGAAGCACCACUUAAGAGAAUGAGUACAGUUCAGUACUUGU